rnacentral:rRNA from 1 species
UACGAAGGGGGCUAGCGUUGCUCGGAAUCACUGGGCGUAAAGGGUGCGUAGGCGGGUCUUUAAGUCAGGGGUGAAAUCCUGGAGCUCAACUCCAGAACUGCCUUUGAUACUGAGGAUCUUGAGUUCGGGAGAGGUGAGUGGAACUGCGAGUGUAGAGGUGAAAUUCGUAGAUAUUCGCAAGAACACCAGUGGCGAAGGCGGCUCACUGGACGACUGUUGACGCUGAGGUACGAAAGCGUGGGGAGCAAACAGG